CUUCUUUACCCAGAGAAGGUUUCCGAUCCGCGUGAGUUAAUUAUCGACUGAUUCCCCAGAGCGCUGUGCUCCGAAGUACUCGCGCCUCUAGCUGUAAGUUAGUGAGUAAGUCCCCAAGAGGGAAGCGCCGGCGCGGAGAGUGAGUGGGGAAGACGGAGCGAAGAAAGAAAAGCACCGACAAAGCUGAGAAGAGUCAUUGUGACCGAGUCGCCAAACCGUACGGACACGCAUAUUUAGUAAAAACAUCAUCGAGCAGAUUCAUAAAAUAUUCGGAGAAACGAGUGACGGUGACCGAGGUCUCGCUGCCGAGCAGAAUUUUCCACCGAGGAGGGAUUUGUACCAGUGACGACGACAAGGAGCUGUAGCUCUUCGAGGGAGUUCGUUAGCGUCGUAAAAGAAAAACUCCAGGUACAAAUAAAAUGUCCCAAUAAUCUCUCGGUGGUGCGGCAUCAGCCAGGCAUUGAAGUCGGCUGAAGGUCACCGCCAUUUCGCGUUCGGUCACAAUCAUUAGUUUAAAAUAAAAAUUA